UUCAAACAUCAAAUUUUUUUUAAAUCCCAAACCAUUAGAUAUGAAGAGAGAGAAAAUAAUCUAGACUUCUUUCUUUCUUUUUUUUCCGCUAAUUUUUUCUUCUUCUAAAACUCAUUAAUAUAAUAUAUUCAUAUCUAUUAGAAAUAUUCAUAUACAUGGAAUCAGUCAUCCUUGUUAUUCUCCAACUAAACUAAAAAAAAUCCUUGAAAAAUAAAUCAAUUAAAAUACAAUCAGUCAUCUUCAUCUUCCUCCUCCGCAUUUUACAUCUAAGGGAACCCAUUUCGUUAAUAUCAAGAAUAACUCAAAAUUUGUAUAGAUCAAACAAAACUCAAAAUUCAUUCAUUCCCAUCGAACCAAAACCCAAAAAUUGUACAUAUCAAACCAAACCCAAAAAUCAUUCCAAUCAAAAUAGAAGGAAUCAAGUGAAUCAAGACCAAUAUUAACUGAAACACCAUGAAAACAUUCUAAUUUGGUCCAUCUUUUUACUCACUCAUCAAAGAGUUCAAUAUAAUAACAAUAAAAUUGGACUAAAAAUUGUUACAUCCAGUUCCCCAAUUUCACGCUUCAUUCACUCAGACAACUCCCAGACAAAAACUCAAAAAAACUUAAAAAAUAGAAGAAUAUGCAAGCAUAUCGCAGAAGCUCACCGGCAGCUCGGAAUCGCCGAUAUCCUCCCCGCCGUCGACUAGCGUAUCAACAACCAUAGUUUUGGGCUCCCACGAUCAACAAUCGCCGUCGUCGUCUUCUAAUCGCCGUCGUCGCCUUCUAAUCUGUACAAUCUAAGCUCCCACGAUCUACAGCCCCAGACUUUGCAAACAUAGAUCGAUAGAUAGAUUGAUGAGGUGGAUAGUUUGAUGGAUCAUGGCGAAGAGUGUUUGAGGACUAUCAUCAGCUGUGGAGAUCAUGUGGGUCUCUCAGCUAAAAGACUCCAUUUUUUUCUUUCUGUGGAACUAGGACGAACAUGAGAGAAAUGUCUUGCUGGGUGAUUAUAAAAUAAUUUAACUUAAUUAAUUAUUUUGCUUACUUUCUCUCUUAUUGUCAACAUUGACACAUAGAUUUAAUUGAUUCUCAUGUAUAGCCACGUCAUUCUUCUGUUAAAUAGUUAACACACA
rnacentral:lncRNA from 1 species